CCUACGGGAGGCAGCAGUGGGGGAUAUUGCACAAUGGGGGGAACCCUGAUGCAGCGACGCCGCGUGGGUGAAGAAGCGCCUCGGCGCGUAAAGCCCUGUCAGCAGGGAAGAAAAUGACGGUACCUGAAGAAGAAGCCCCGGCUAACUACGUGCCAGCAGCCGCGGUAAUACGUAGGGGGCAAGCGUUAUCCGGAUUUACUGGGUGUAAAGGGGGCGCAGACGGCGAUGCAAGCCAGGAGUGAAAGCCCGGGGGCCAACCCCGGGACUGCUCUUGGAACUGCGUGGCUGGAGUGCAGGAGGGGCAGGCGGAAUUCCUGGUGUAGCGGUGAAAUGCGUAGAUAUCAGGAGGAACACCGGUGGCGAAGGCGGCCUGCUGGACUGCAACUGACGUUGAGGCCCGAAAGCGUGGGGAGCAAACAGGAUUAGAUACCCUUGUAGUC
rnacentral:rRNA from 1 species